ensembl:lncRNA
GUCUAAACCUAACGGAGCUUCGCGAUAACGCAGAAGAAGGUUGAUAACGGAAAUCAGAUCGUCAGGAUGAGCCUUUCAUCAGUGUUUGUGUUCAUUCUUCCUUUUAUCUGUGAGGCGUUGGGAGCGCUGAUCCAAACCACUGUGGGGGCAGAUGUCGAGUUUCCGCUCUCAGAGGAGUGCAGGAAGGGAGAAGGCACACUGUAUCAGCGGCUGGAUGAUGCCAGCACUCAGCUCAUCGCAUCUCUAAAUGGUUACUGGAAGCCAGGGCGAGAUUACACUGACCGUGUGGUCGUAGGACGCGAUUCUUUAAUCUUAACAAAUGCUAACUUCAAUGACAACGGACAUUAUGAGUUUACCUGCAACAAGAAACACUUGGAAGCUUACAAGCUGGAGGUAUUUGUGCCCUCUGAAGUUGCUGUAUCCGAGGGUGGGGAUGCCAUCCUCCCGUGUCGCUCCGUCACAGCGGGCCAGUCGGUGAAGUCUGCGCGCUGGAGGAGAAACGGGGAAGUACUGCUGGAGCUGAAUGGUCGGACGGGGGAAAUCACAUACGGGGAUGACUUUAACAGAAGCCAGGUAUCGAUACCAUCUGACUGGGACCGACGGGCAGACCUGUCCCUCACCAUAAAGGGAGCUCAGCAACAAGAUGGAGGAGUUUAUUACUGUGAUGUAGAGAAGGCCGAGAAACACCGCUCUGCUGUGCGCCUGCGAGUGCGCAAACCACCGGAGUCCUACCACUGGAUAUGGAUCACAAUCAUCAUAACAGCAGCUGUGACAUCUGUGAUUGUUUUUACUCUCAAGUUCUUUUGGGGCUGGAGAGAGAAGACCAAGGGUGUACAUGCAUGAAGAGAGCAGAGGAGACAGUGCCCGAAACAGUCCACUAAAUGACCAAUCAUUUAUAAUCAGGAGGAAAGCACAUCUCUAAAAAUUGCCCUGCCAAGUCUUCUGAUGUUAUACUGCCUGUAAAAAUGAAUAGAAAUAGCUUUUUGUUGUGCAUUACUUUUAGUACCAAAGUCCAAACCCGAACCUUUAUUUCACUGUGUAAUGAAAGUCUUCAUGGCAAAAUAAACAGCAGAUAUCUGCACACUGCUAACUUACAGUGUAAAGAUAAAAGAAUACACACAUACAGAGAUUUCUUUCUGACUUUUGACUUAUUGAUUUAUUUGUGUCUUCUUCUUGGCAGCUCUUCACUUGGUACAGUUGAAGGUCUGUCCUGAGAAAAAGGUAUAGCUUGGUUAUAGCAACAGCUAAUAAUCAAUUUUUAUGAUUUCUUCAUUGAUCUGUAAGAGGCUGGAGCUUAUAGUUAAUGAAUGCAACAGUCUGGGUUGAGUAGUUGAAUUUAUUCUCUUUGUGUUGAGGACAAAAGAGUCUUCAGGCCUCCAAAAGACCUUUUAAAGGUUCCAGGUGCCACCAAGUGUGACUGAGCAGGAGACUGAAUGUGGAUAUAAAUGUUCAUUUUAGAUUAUUGGCUGUAGGGUAAGGUUUCUAUUAUGAUUUAAUGCCAACAAGUUUAGUUUAGUUCACUAGUUUAUUUGAUGAGGACACCCGGUGCACUGCUGUGGUUUGUGGGUCAGUCGGUUGCAGUCAAUGAAGGGCUUCUAGUAAAUACGAGAGGCUGUUGCUGAAACCAUAAACCACCAGCCAGUAAAGAUUUACAGUUUUAUGUUCCUUUAUUUGUUUGCUUUAUGGUUGUUUACAGGCCACAGUGAUAAAAUGUGAUGAAUUUGCUUGCACGAUGAACCCACUACAGUUCAACUUCAAACACCCUCAGAGGUUCAAGCUGGACUUCUUUCUAUGUCUAGAACUUUAAUGGAUUCUGUUUUUUGUUUAAUAACUGUGACUUAUACUUUUUUCAUAUAAUGAAGUUACACAUACAUUCUGUCUUUUGCAUCAAGUUCACUUUUAGUAAUUCCACCACGCAGUAAAUCUGUGUGAUUUUGAUGUGUGGCUAACUCAGCUUCUUUUAGAAAUAGUGACUCAGUGGAGUCUGACACUCAGACGAUCAGCCAAUAGAGUUUCUGGUGAAGCUGGAGCCAAAUAACUGCUUUGAAACUGAUUCUUAGAGUCCAGAGUGAACCGUCAGUGUCCUUAAACAAUUUGUUUAUUGCCCACA